CUUGACUUGGAAAUAUAAAAGAAGGAUAAAUAUGUUUCAAGGUAUAAUUUACAUUUUACUUAUGAUUCUGCUUUGAUUUUAAAAUAAAUUAGUGAUUAGAACUUCCCAUCCUCAUGCAGCUACAUAUUUAUUACAAAUUCCUUGAGUGACUUUCAGAUCAUGGGCUCCCAAGACUAAAGUCUUGAUGGUUUGAGAAUUUUAUGUGGAGAAGAAUGCUACAAGAAUGUAUAUGGUAAAGGCAAACCACUUAAAUAUGUCCUGGGUUGUGCAAUGGAAUUCAGCAUCACUGUGAGUAAAUACUACAUUUUGUGCUUUUACUCAGGACUACACUCCCUGCUGCCUCCUGCAAUCACCAGUAUACAGAGUGGAAGAUCUCUUUAUUACUGCAGAUUCAUUUUUGGGUAUGAAGCAAUGACUCCCCUCACUCACUCCAGCGUCUGUCAAAUGGUCACCUCUCAGGUGUAGAGGCUGGUUGGUACAUUUGGGUAUUGACUAAGUACAAGUUUAUUUCCUCAAACUGAAUGUGAGUAUAAGAGGAGGGACCAAAAGCUAUAUUUCUCCUUUUUGUAUUAACAAUAUGUAUUUCUCAGAACACAAGAAAAAAAUGAGUAAUAACAUCACUUAAGAUAUAGUUAUAGGAUGUAUACAUGCAAGAAAAUCUUAAAAAAUAAAUAAAUUAGGGACGCCUGGGUGGCUCA
rnacentral:lncRNA from 1 species